UUCCCUUGUUUUGCUGUGGAAAGUGGGGUUCAACACUAUACAACUACAUCACAACGCACUUUGUUUCGUUCUGUUAUAUUGAUGAUAGACUGGUAUUAGGAUAUAGUAGGGUUGUGGUCAGAACUACUUGUUUCCAAUAUCUGCUUAUAACUUGAUCAACGAGUAGCAGGGCCAUGAAUGCAGUGAUCGGAAAUGGUUCGCGUUUGUUCUUUCUGGUCCAUGGACGAGAAUUCGCUGCCAUGUAUCGAUAUCAGCAUAAGGAGAUCGUCAUCUAAAAACUCUGCUCCAGGAGUAGGGCGCGGUCCGCUAUAGCCUCGUCAGUCAUGGAUGACGAUGGGUCCUCGCAUCCGCAGGCUGGGGUGAGGGUGUUGUUGGGGCGCAAGCACCAGUCCCUGCGGGGGCGCCUCGGAGACCCUGCGCAUGUGGAUCUGCUCACAGGGCUGCCGGCAUGCGCGCCUCAGCUGGGACCUGGACAGCAUUCGCCUGGCCCUCCUGGGGGGGGGGGGAGAAAAGACAGGAUGUUAGCAUGGAUGGUGCACCGACCCAACGUGGACGGGUCUCUGGAGAACGCUCUUUUGAGGGUAUGAGGCGAAAUUGCAAGACUUGGGAACUGUGGAAGAAAAGGUUGCAGGGUUGUGUUCCCUCUCGAUCGGAGCAGAAAAACACAUCCAUUAUCGCGGACUCCCUGCUGGGGAUGGAGGAGAGAGCAGAGGUGGAACGCCGGGCCCCAGGCCAUCGUGACCAAGGUGUGUGCACAUGUGUGUUUGCGGGGAGGGGGCUCUGGGCGUAUCACCUUUGCAUGUAUUUAUUUUCUUAUUUUUUCCUAUUCAACUCUCCUUUUUGUUUUCCAGCAAGGGCCAUUGUGCACAGAAAACUCACACACAUACACACACAGACAAACACAUUGCCUUCUAAUGUUCUUUCCACCAAUCAAUAACGCUUAA